CCGGGGUCUCGAGUCCCCGCCGCCGCCGCGGGCUUCGGGGCGCAGGGCGGCCUGGAGGCCGAGAUAAUAAACAGCCGCCAGGACAACAGUACGUUCGCGUGCGGACGACGCGGAUCAGCCGUCCGCGGCCGCAGGUCGAGAAUUUAAAGAAGUCCAUUGAAGUUCCCCAUUUUGCAGUGUGGUCUUACAGUAUUUCUUAACCCGACUACUAGGUUAACCUAACCUACCAGGUAAGUUUUAGUGAAUUUCAGUUGUCAAAGCACUAUCCGUUCAAUUAUAAGAAACAGGCAUUUUCAUGUAUAGCCCAGAUUCAGUCUCAAGAGUUUUCUUACCUAGAAGUUAUAACAAAACAUCCAGGUUUACUACUUAAAAAAAAAAAAAAAUCUAGUAAGCUGGGCUUUCUCAGACAUUCACAACCAGUGUGAAAGUUUUCAUUAGAGCCUUUCCUGAAAACAAGCCCUGACCUCAAGUCGUCCACUGUCCUGGGAUUUGCCCUGUGGAGGUCUGAGCUACAGAAAUGCACAUUGAUUGCACUUCAAAGUCAGAAAACCUAAUUUGGGGGCAGAGCCCUAGGCCUGGGUCGCUUUAACCUUUAAGGUAGGUAAUAUUUGCAGCAAGUGACACAGAAAUGAAAACACUAUCUCAGGUACAAGGGCCCCUAAGAUAGCUUCUAUUCUUCAUAGCCAAGUGGUGCUGUGCUGUUCUCUUUGCUACGUCCUACCCAGAACCAGGGUUUCACUGGGUUUCCCUUGAGGUACACAUUUCCUGGAUCAUUACCGUUCAUGAGAUAAAGGAUUCUCUUACACACACACACACACACACACACACACACACACACACACGCACACACACUUCACUUUAAACGUCAGGUUCCUAAAGCUUCAUAACAAAAUGAAGCUAAAAGAUCAUAAGCCACCAGAUUCAGCUUAUAAAUUAUGAAUCACCAAAAACAUUUUUCAAAACAACUGAUCUUGACCUCAGAGAAACUAGGCAACAGUUACUGUUUGUUUCUCGUUUAGUAGACUGGAGUAUGUCGUGAAAAAUCAAGCUUAGUACCUCGGCCGCUUUCUCGGUGAAGAAACGGUUAGUGUUCUCUUGUUUUUGCUUUCACAGGGACAACGGACAGCGUGUAUACUUGGGAGUGGAGAAUUUCCGGGGCUUGCUCUCCGAGAGAUGCUUGCCAGCCACAACUGGCCAGAUGUGGCUUCGUGGAACAGGCAACGAAGACCUCACUUACAGAGCCACGUCUUGGUGCUGCCGUCGUGAAUGUAGCCGCGAGUGGCACAGCCCCCCUCCCCCGUUUGCAAGGAAGAUGAGAAGUGGAAGGGCCGGGAACCCCACACCGGAAAUAAUAGGAUCCUCCCUGCGGAUCCCUCACCGCCCUUCUUCGGUCCUGCUUCCCAGAGGAUCUGGGCUGUUAGGACUAACAAUUCUCGUAGGAAGUAGGUCUAGGCUCCGUACCACGUGGCGUGAGGACGUCCAGUUGGACCCAUCUGGUGCUGUUUUCGGGAACACGCUGCCACACCCUGGUUGCUGCAGAAAACUUUUCAUCAGGUGGAAAUCCCCCGGGGGCCACCUGAUAGCACAUUUCUACGGAGGUCUGAUCUGAAUCGCUUCUGUUCACGCCGAAGCGGAGUUCAUGGUGACGGUGAGGGAACAGCUAUGUCCGUCUCGAUACUGACUGUCUCAUUUUUAUUUGAAACACAUUCGUGUAUAUCUGUAGCACUUCCCUGGUUUUUCUCAACGUCUCACGAGCACAAGGGGAGGCUUUGAAUGAAUUGAUCCAAAUACCACGCUCUCCUCAGCCUUAACGGAAUCUCUUAAUCCAUGUAGUAUGAAUAUGUGAUUUUUUUUUCUGCCCAAAUACUCAUGCUACAUGCUCCUGAGAGCUGCUGGGUCAGUACUCGAGCCGACUCUGCGACCUCCAGGUAACCCGUGUUGGCAUCACACGCCAUCCGUCUGAGAGAAUCACACGGAUUUUUAGUCAUUUAUGUCGGUGUGUGUUCUGAGUAAAAUGCAACAUACUACUGCGCUCCAAACAGGUUUUAGGUUGUACAAUCAAUUAGGAUGUUCUUGCUUCAAAUAAAGUGAAGAAACUUAAAA